AUGGACCGAAUAUGUAUUGCCUCCCGCCUCUGGAUGUACUACUAGAUGCCGGAGCAGGCCGAGCGGCUGCGGCUGCCUUCUUUCGUUGCUUACAAGACAGAGGAGAAGGACUAUGACGCGCCGGAGCAGCCGGAGCGACGGUGGGUCUCUUCCACCCUUGCUGAUAAGGCGGAGAAGGAGGAGGCUGGCUGGUCGGGCGCGCCGGCCCAAUCAAACCACAGCCAGGGCGCAUGGCUUCUCUCUCUGUCUUGCUCCUCUCUCGAUCCCCUCCAGGUCCAGCCGCCACCGCCGAACGCCGACCUCCGUCCUCUCCCCCAACCCCAACCCCAACUCCAACUCCGGCCUCCACUCCACCGCCGGCGAUCCAUCCGUUCCCCUUCUCUCCCUCGCCGUAGAUCCGCUCGAGCAGCGCAGCCCACGGUCAGAUCAGAUCCUCGCGCCCGAAACCCUAGACCUCCGGCCAUGGCGACCGGCCGUAGCACAGGUUGGAGGUGCCACCAUGGAUUCCUCUGCCGGGGACGCCGCCCAAGUGCUCCUCAAGGCCCGCUGCUCCUUCUUCCUCCUUUUCCUCAAAUUCAAGGGCAAGCAGCAGCACACGCCAUCCUCAAGGCGCACGGUUCUUCUCUUCUCUGAUGGAUGGAUGGAUGGAUGGAUGGGUUGGUCGUGGAGGAGGAGAACGACCAGGAGAAUAGGGAUCCCGUCUCUUCUCUUCUCUUCAUCAAUGCCGGCCAGGAACAAUGACCCAGCCACCCCUCAAGGAAAGGUAAAGGCAGGAGUGCAAACCCUUGGAGUUCAUGUAGAGGAAUCCGCUCUCAUGGGUCACAGAGGCCCUCCUCCCAUCAGAACCGGGCUGCCUGUUGUAUGUACAGCAUAAAGAUUUGGAUGCACACUGUGGUGGUUUCUUCAUAUUACACGUGCAGCCAGCCGUGUACGUCCAAACUCUACCUGCCGCUGUGUGAUGCCAGCGAUUUCACCCGCCACGCCGCGACCGUGGUGGUGGUGAUGUCUGGCCUCGGCUACAACUUGCGCAGGAUUUGGCCUCUGGAUAUGGUUCCUGUGAUGUUGCUUUGUUGGCUGCUCAUCGGGAACACGCCAUUGCUGUUGUUGUACCUUCCCCAAGGUCACCCACGGCUCCAAGCUCGAGUCCAUGGAUCCCUGCUCCAGCGUCAAUGAUAGGAUCUGGUACAGCAGAGAAGAAGGGGUUCAUCAUCUUCCUCUGAGUGGCGGUGUUGUUUGGCAUCGGCUACACAACAGCCACACAAAAAGAUUUGGAUGCAGACUGUGGUGGUUACUUCAUAGUACACGUGCAACUGUGUAGGUUCAAACUCUCCCUGCCGUCGUGUGACGCCAGCGAUUUCACUCGCCAUGCCACGACCACGGCGGUGGCGAUGUCCGGCCUCGGCUACAACUUGCACAGGAUUUGGCCUCUGGAUGGAUGUUAUGGUUCAUGUGAUGUUACUCUGCUGGCUGUCAUCGGGAACAUGCCAUUGCUUUUGCUGUACCUCACCCAAGAUCACCCAUGACUCCCAGCUCGAGUCCUUGGAGCCUUGCUCCAGCGUCAAUGAAAGGAUCCAGUACAGUAGGGGGGAAGGGGUUUCUCGUGCCAGGCACCUUGGCAUCUUUUGCUGUGCCGUGGUGCUGUUUGGCAUUGGCCACAAUAGCUACAGCGAGCUCCUUUGCUUCCUCUGCUCGCCUCUUAUUGCUCUGAUAGAUGGUUACAAUUUGGUUAGCAAGGUGUUGUAGGUCGAUGGAGGCUAUGGUCCCUGUGAUGUGUCUGGGGUUCAUGCGAAUUGUUGGUUAUGUUGCUAGUGCUACAAUCUGGUUGGUUAUGUUUGCUCUGCUGGGUUUAGGAUGUCUAAGUGAGCUAGUUUCCACUGCUCUAAUCAUAUAGGCAUAGUACAUGAUUACUAGCAAUUCUCUUCUGGUGUAGGUGGUCUAUGUUCAUCUCUAGCCCGUGUGUGCUGUGCUGUGCUCAUGUGAGCAGGAAAUUACCAAGUGUAUUUUUGUUGCAAAUGUAUUCUGCCCAUUAGCAGAUCAUGUUGAUAUGCUACAGUACAGGGGUUUAGUUCACUGAACGAUCAAUGAUCUCUUCUAAGGAAUUCUUCUUGUACGAGUUUCAGUUUUUGAUGUUCUGUGCACUGACCGAUCAAUGACCUUCUAUGAGAAGAAAGAAAAUCACUCAUUCCUAGCUGUGUAUGUGUGUAUCGACAAACAAGUUGGUUAUUGUCAAGGUGGCUUGCUGCCUCCUAUUUGCAUAGAAUACUUCUUUAUUACCUCAACUAGGUCAUUGCUGUUGAUGUACCUUACCUCAACUAGCUCACCCCAUGAUUUCUCCAAGCUUGGGUCUUGUUUUGUUUUUCUAUUUGGCCUCAAGAUUAUCUUCUUAUUUCUUUUGUCCUUGUGGAGCAGGAUUUUAUUCGUUACAAUAAGGGGUUCGUCGUGCCAGGCUCCGCGGCGCUGUUGCUUCCAUGUGAUGGUGUUGUUUGGCAUCGGCUACAAAAACAGCCACGAGGACCGGGAGCUUGCAGCAACAGCAUCUCCGACCCCUUCCUGAUGAGCUGCACGUUGUGGACCAGGUCCCAGUGGAGUUUCUUGUAUGUACCCACAAGGGCCGUCAUUGGCUCCACCUGCGCCCUCUUGCUGGCCUUCCAUAGAGGAUGAGGAGUUUGUGGUAGCAUCUCCGGCCCCUCCCUGACGAGCUGCAGGUCGUAGAUGAGGUCCUAGCCGAGGAGAACAUUCCCCUGGAGGAGGGUGUUUGACAACCUGAGGAAUGGCCGUGAUAUCCUCACCGCUGACAGCGCCUUCAAAUCUUAGGCCCAAACAAGCUUGAUUGACGAGGAACCCAAGUUCUUGGGUUCGUGGAGGCCGCUGCCAUCACGCUUGCCAAUGGAUGUUCUGGAGAGCAUAUCUAUGUGAAGAAAAGAAAAGGCUGCCACAGGACGCCGCUCAAGGGAAGAAAAUCUAUGCUGGAGAUGGGAGAGCAAGUUUUAUCUUGUGGAGGGCGAGAAGACGGACUGAUGGACCUUGUAGCGGCGCUUGGUUGUAAUUGAGCUCGUUUUGUGUUGGUGUUGUUUGCUCCUCUCGAGGACCAUUCAGUUUUUUUUAAGGGAGGACCAUUCAGUUUCUAAAGAAGGACAAGAGGCGCAACGAGUCCAGGAUAAAUAGUAAUACCUGUGCUGUGCAAUUGAAUCUCAAGGGGCUCAAUCCAGCAGCUCUCCACUAGUAGACUCUAAUGUCCAACGGGACUAGUGUAGUGAAAUCUUGUGAGAUGAUUUGUUGGUUGUCUCUAUUCUUCUGUACAUAUGAAUUCUAAUUUGAGAGAUAUGAAAUCUAAAGAUGUUUGAAA